rnacentral:rRNA from 1 species
GAUGAACGCUGGCGGUAUGCCUAACACAUGCAAGUCGUACGAGUAGUUUUUUAACUCUAGUGGCGGACGGGUGAGUAACACGUGAGAAUUUGCCUUUUAGGAGGGGGGAUUAACAAUUGGAAACGAAUGCUAAUACCCCAUAUGCUUUUUGAGUGAAAUGGAUUUUUAUCCGCCUAGAGAGAAGCUCGCGGCUGAUUAGCUUGUUGGUAAGGUAAGAGCUUACCAAGGCGACGAUCAGUAUCUGGUUUGAGAGGACGAUCAGACACACUGGAACUGAGACACGGUCCAGACUCCUACGGGAGGCAGCAGUGGGGAAUUUUCCGCAAUGGGCGAAAGCCUGACGGAGCAAUACCGCGUGAGGGAAGAAUGCCUAUGGGUUGUAAACCUCUUUUUCAGGGAGGAAUAAAAUGACGUGUACCUGAAGAAUAAGCAUCGGCUAACUCCGUG